AGUCGAACGGUGAACACGGAGCUUGCUCUGUGGGAUCAGUGGCGAACGGGUGAGUAACACGUGAGCAACCUGCCCCUGACUCUGGGAUAAGCGCUGGAAACGGCGUCUAAUACUGGAUAUGUGACGUGAUCGCAUGGUCUGCGUCUGGAAAGAAUUUCGGUUGGGGAUCGGCUCGCGGCCUAUCAGCUUGUUGGUGAGGUAAUGGCUCAUCAAGGCGUCGACGGGUAGCCGGCCUGAGAGGGUGACCGGCCACACUGGGACUGAGACACGGCCCAGACUCCUACGGGAGGCAGCAGUGGGGAAUAUUGCACAAUGGGCGCAAGCCUGAUGCAGCAACGCCGCGUGAGGGAUGACGGCCUUCGGGUUGUAAACCUCUUUUAGCAGGGAAGAAGCGAAAGUGACGGUACCUGCAGAAAAAGCGCCGGCUAUCUACGUGCCAGCAGCCGCGGUAAUACGUAGGGCGCAAGCGUUAUCCGGAAUUAUUGGGCGUAAAGAGCUCGUAGGCGGUUUGUCGCGUCUGCUGUGAAAUCCGGAGGCUCAACCUCCGGCCUGCAGUGGGUACGGGCAGACUAGAGUGCGGUAGGGGAGAUUGGAAUUCCUGGUGUAGCGGUGGAAUGCGCAGAUAUCAGGAGGAACACCG
rnacentral:rRNA from 1 species